GGUGUUGUGCCAGAGUGGUUAAUGGGUUAGACUUGAAAUCUAAUGGCUUCGGCCUCGCAAGUUCGAAUCUUGUCAGCACCG
rnacentral:tRNA from 1 species